AGAGGAGAAAGAAUAGUGAAGACCCUGGCUGGCAGGCACAGGGCUCAUCUGGUUACGGGGGAAGGUGUGUGACCAAGACUAUAGGGUUUCACACAAACUACUCCUCGGAUUAUGAACGUGUAAUGAUGCCUCAGCGACGGACGGGGGAGGAAAGGGUGCGUAGGAGUGCGACUAAGAUGGUCUCCUAUCUCCAGCAAAAUCUUCCUCAGACCUGCUGAGUUUCUGCUCUUUUUCUGGAAUACUCCCUUCUCUAGGAUCCUACUUGUCAUGUCCAGAAGAGGCAGUGGCUUGAUUAUCACUUUGCUGCUCCUUUGAAUUCAGUCAGGAGCAGGUGAGAAAAUAUUCCAACUAUAUUUGUGUGUGUGUGACUCAAGGGGUAAGUAUAUGUUAAAAUAAUUUGACUCUGGACCCAGGGAAAAGGAACACUGGGUCUUCAGGAACACCUGUCUUGGACAACAUGGGAAAAGUCAAAGUACAAGUGUGAAGUAUCUUCAGCUGUUUCUCUCUUUGGUUUCUUCCUCUAAAACUAAGAAGAUACCAGUUGUACCUAAUCAAGCACGUCUCUGUAUUUUCCUAGAUUCAAAAAGCUUCUGACGCAUUGCAGAUUGCAUAAAACCUGAGUGGAUGGUAAGUCAGGAAAGACCAAGAAGCCUAGAAGGUAGGGAUACUAGGCAUGGACCUGAUGUGGCCUAAGGUCAGAAUCAGAAAAGAGAAAAACUCUUGUUGGAACUGGGAACAGAAUCGAGGGAUCCUGGCUGCCACUCUGGCUUCAGGGCCACAGUUAUGCUGAACAGCUUGACUAUCCAGAAGACAACCUCUCCCAGCCUUUCCCUAACUUGGGUACUUGUUAAGACGAUGAAAAGUAGCCACAGAAGCAGAUACAUAUUUUGAUUCUACGGGACCAGGGAGGAUUAUUAGCUCCUAGUAGUCCCACAGACUGUGGGGAAAAGGGAACAAUCUUGAGACAUUGGCCAAAGCUCUCUGAGGCAAGAUUUCUAGAAGUUAGGGGUGAGCUAGAUAAAAACACCAGCGAAAUCAGACAUAUAACGCUAGUAUGGAUGAAUUAGAAAAAGGUUAAUGAUUUGGAAAAAAGAUAUUUAUAACACACAGGCUAGGAACUACUACUAAGGAGGAAGUACUCUUGUUAAUAAGCUUCCUUAGGGAAGAGGAAACUAGGACAGAUGGGGCAAUCAUUACCAUCCUAAAGAACUCAUUAUUGUCUACAACACUUCUAAUUAUAAUUCCUGUCCUAUUUUUACAAAAGUGGAGGGAGAAAUAGUGGUGGUAGAGGAUAUACUCUUAACCUCUCUAGACAGGUGGUCGCUGGAAAACUCCCUGAAGCAAUUUCACCAUGUCCAGGGCUCUCCUUGCUGGAAGAAUCUCCUAGUCCUUCUUGCACUGGGAAACAGCACUUUGACUGACCCAGGUCCUCUGCUGAAAGGUUAGGUUCUAACAAAAUCCCUGCUUCCUCGGCCUGCUGGGCUCCACUUGCUGACUUACCCUGACGGGGUCCUCUCUUCCGCCGGAAUGCUGCGCCUGACUGCAGGGCUUCCAGAAGACUGUCCAUCACACCUGUCUCAUCGCCCUCUGUCAUGAACAAAAACAGAGAUGUAAGCUCUUCAGCCCGAGUAGCACUCAUGUGUUGAGCCCCACAAAAAAUGCACUGCUACUGAACUGCUUGCCCGCGCCCACAGUUUCUCGGGGCUUGGAGCACACGGAGGGCUCAACCUCAAGUCUCACAGCCCAUGUUUACUCGUGUCUGUUUGAAAAUGGUUAAAACAAAAGGUUUCACUGGUUACCAACCACUGCAAACCUUGCAUAAUUUUCCUGCAGUGCCCUCCUCCCUUCCCACCCCCAUCAGAACUAGCACAGAAAAGUGUAGUAGACCUGCUUGACUGCAAGACUGGGAUACGUACAGAGACCGGGAUUAUGACAUUAAUAAAGAAUUAUA